rnacentral:rRNA from 1 species
UACGAGAGGCCCAAACGUUAUUCGGAUUUACUGGGCUUAAAGAGUUUGUAGGCGGUUCGACAAGUGAGGUGUGAAAGCCCUCGGCUUAACCGAGGAAUUGCGCUUCAAACUGUCGGGCUCGAGGGAGAUAGAGGUGAGCGGAACUGAUGGUGGAGCGGUGAAAUGCGUUGAUAUCAUCAGGAACACCAGAGGCGAAGGCGGCUCACUGGGUCUCUUCUGACGCUGAGAAACGAAAGCUAGGGGAGCAAACAGG